CCUGAGAACUCGAGCACCAGCAGUUCGUCCAGCUCACGCCCGGUCGCAGAGCAGCUGCGAGAGCUGAGAGAGGAGGAGGCCCUGAAGCUGCUGAGGAGCAUUGUGAGCGAUGGAGAUCCACUGAAGAAAUACACAGGAUGGGAAAAUAUUGGCCAAGGGGGUUUCGGAACCGUGUCUAGAGCAUUCGAUGCUGUCACAGGAGGAGAGGUGGCCAUCAAGCAAGUCAAGCUCCACCAACAGAGCAAAGAGGAACUCCUGAAAGAGAUCCUGGUCCUGAGGGAUAAGAACCACCCCAAUAUUGUUACUUAUUUAGACAG